rnacentral:lncRNA from 1 species
GCUUUCUUUUCUUCCUCUGGAGCAGUUAUGGCGGCGGCGAAGACCCUGAACCCCAAGGCCAAGGUGGCCGGAGCGCAGGCGGCGCUGGCGUUCAACAUUAGCGGGGCGCGGGGUCUGCAGGACGUGCUGAGGACCAACCUGGGGCCCAAAGGGACCAUAAAGAUGUAAGGGCCUUCAUCCCAGAAUAAUCACUGAAGGAUUUGAAGCUGUGAAGGAAAAGCCCUUCAUUUUUUGGAAGAAGUCAAAGUAAGCAGAGAGAUGGACAAGGAAACACUUAAAGAUGUGGCCAGGGCAUCUCUUUGUACUAAAGUUCAUGCUGAACUUGCAGAUGUCUUAACAGAGGCUGUAGUGGGCUCCAUUUUGGCCAUUAAAAGAAAAGAUGAACCUAUUGAUCUCUUCAUGAUUUUGUGAUCAUUGACAAGAAACAUAAAUCUGAAACUGAUACAAGAGAAGUGAAUUCUGGCGUUUUUUACAAGAGUGCAGAAAGAGAAAAACUCAUAAAAGCUGAAAGAAAAUUCAUUGAAGAUAGAGUUAAAACAAAUAAUAGAACUGAAAAGGAAAGUCUGUAGUAAUUCAGAUAAAGGAUUUGUUAUUAAUCAAAAGGGAAUUGACCCCUUUUCCUUAGAUGCUCUUUCAAAGAAGGCAUAGUCGCUCUUCACAGAGCUAAAAGGAGGAAUAUGGAGAGGCUGACUCUUGCUUGUGGUGGGGUGGCCCUGAAUUCUUUUGAGGACCUAAGUCCUGACUGCUUGAGACAUGCAGGACUUGUAUAUGAGUAUACAUUGGCUGUGUGGUUCCGGUGCUGGUGCCGUGGAAGUGGCAAUGGCAGAAGCCCUGAAUAAAUAUAAGCUCAGUGUAAAGGGCAAGGCACAGCUUGGAGUCCAAGCAUUUGCUGAUGUGUUGCUCGUUAUUCCCAAGGUGAGCCCGUGGUAGCAGCAGAAGCAGGCAUUAUGGGAUAACGAUUGUGUAAAGAAACAGCUUCUUCAUUCCUGCACUGGUUGCCACCAACAUUCUCUUGGUUGAUGAGAUCAUGCGAGCUGGAAUCUUCUCUGAAAGGUUGAAUUGAAGCUUCCUCUGUAUCUGAGUCUUGAAGACUCUGCAAAGUGAUCCUGAAGAAUACAGCUGUGGAAUUUUUGUCCAAGCUUCAAAUGAGUUUCAAGGGAAUUUUCCCAUGUGAAAAAAGGAGAGAACACUGGCAUCUGUUGAAAUUCGGAAGUUCUGAAAUUAUAAUCACAGUAUUUUUUAAAAAUUGCACUGAAGUGUACACAGAUAAAGCAGGUCUUUCACCCAGUGAACAGGAUGUUUUGCUUUAGCAGCAGUGACAUAAAAUUCCAUGUUAAAUAAGCAUAUAUUACCUACCUUAUUAAAUAUUCCUUGAAAAAGCAGAUUUUAAUGGUUUAAUUUUAUGUGGACAUAUGUUAAAUUAUUCAGCAGUACCCUAUUGUUAAGCAUCUGGUUUUAAAAUUUUUAUGCUAAUAUAAAUAACGCUUAGUAAUUUAAAAUUUUGGAAGCAUCCCGUUAGUGUAAAUUUCUGAGUAAAUUUAUUGAUCAGUUGGACUUUUCACGCUUUUGAAAUAGCUUUGCUAAAAUGCUCCCCCUACAAAGUUGUAGGAAAUGGGAAGAGGAGUAAACUAGAGGCAAGGGAGUUGAGAGAGCUGGAAGGCAUGGUGGCUAAGGGCUACGGUUAUCAGGUGAAAUUUGAGAUUUGUAGGCUGACUAUAUUUUCAAGCUUCUGAACUUUUGCUUAUGCAAAAUAUUCAUCCCAAAGCCUCUAGCGUCAUAGUUUCCUCACCCAAAUUACUAUGUUUCCACAAGAUUUAUAUAGUUGGUCUAUCUCUGCGGUCCUUGAAAGUGAAGUUGGUGUUACUAGGCUGUGGGUUUUGGGGGCUCAGCAGUGACCUGGAGUGUGCAAAUAAAUGUUAAGUUGAAACC